rnacentral:lncRNA from 1 species
UCAUAAUACACAUUAUUCAAUCUUUCAGUAAUUCAUAUAAUAACACAUAAUCAAAUAACAAUUAUUGUUGUCUCAUCCACCUAUAAUGAAUCCACGCGUCGACAUAGCCCAAGAGGUUCAAUCGUCAACAUAACUCUCGCAUGUAGCUUACCAUCCAAAACCAACUUACCAUUAAACCUAAAGUCACUCUUCCUUCCUACUCUCUAGGAGCCUCACGAGAGAAGUAAAUAGGUGCUACUUUCCACCACUCUCCUAGAGCAUUUCCUAAAGAAGUUCAUCUUCAAUACAACUAUAUCGAGUCCACCAC